GGUAGCUCAGGGGCAGAGCACUUGCCUGGCAUGCAGAAGGACCUGAGUUCAAUCCCCAGUACCA
rnacentral:tRNA from 1 species